rnacentral:rRNA from 1 species
AGGACGAACGCUGGCGGCGUGCUUAGCACAUGCAAGUCGAGCGGAAAGGCCCUUCGGGGUACUCGAGCGGCGAACGGGUGAGUAACACGUGAGCAACCUGCCCUUAGCUUCGGGAUAGCUCCGGGAAACCGGAAUUAAUACCGAAUAUGACUUUGGCUGACAUCAGCAGAAGUGGAAAGUUUUUCGGCUAGGGAUGGACUCGCGGCCUAUCAGCUAGUUGGUGAGGUAACGGCCCACCAAGGCGACGACGGGUAGCCGGCCUGAGAGGGCGACCGGCCACACUGGGACUGAGACACGGCCCAGACUCCUACGGGAGGCAGCAGUGGGGAAUAUUGCGCAAUGGGCGAAAGCCUGACGCAGCGACGCCGCGUGGGGGAUGAAUGCCUUCGGGUUGUAAACCCCUUUCAGCAGGGACGAAGCGAAAGUGACGGUACCUGCAGAAGAAGCGCCGGCUAACUACGUGCCAGCAGCCGC